AUUAAGGUGGCAGAGCCCGGUAAUUGCGAAAGACCUAAGCCCUUUUCCCCAGAGGUUCAACUCCUCUCCUUGAUA
rnacentral:tRNA from 1 species